ensembl:lncRNA
CACCUAGGAGCCUCAUGAGGACAUCAGAGGCAGUGCACUCAUAACUGUUACCUGAGGACAAAACUACAAACACAAGGUCUUCCUUCCAAGGAACAAUUACUAUAUUCUCUCUCUUGCACGAAAGACAAGAUCUACAGUCUACUAUAGGCAUGGACAACAGACUAGUCUUCACUGUCCUGGUUGUGAUGAUGUCCUUGAACUUUAUGGGCCCCUAUGCUCAAAGCUCCACAACCACAACUGCAGCAACCACAACGACACCAACCCCCACCACUGCGGCAACCACGAAACCAUCCACCACAACUGCGGCAACCACAACGACAACAACCGCAACCGCAACUACAGCAACAACUGCAACUACAGCAAGCAGAGGGCCGCCAACAACUGUAACUACAGCAACAACUGCAACUACAGCAAGCACAGCACCACCAACAACCGUAACUACAGCAAGCACAGCGCCACCAACAACCGCAACUACAGCGACUACAGCAAGCAUAGCGCCGUCAACAACCGCAACUACAGCAACUACAGCAAGCACAGCGCCGCCAACAACUGUAGCUUCAGUAAGCACAGCACCACCAACAACCGCAACUACAGCAACAACCGCAACUACAGUAACAACUGCAACUACAGCAAGCACAGCACCGGCAACAACCACAACUACAGCAACAACUUCAACUACUGCAACUACAGCAAGCACAGCAUUGCCAACAACCGCAACUACAGCAAGCACAGCGCCACCAACAAUCGCAAUUACAGCAACAACUGCAACUACAGCAAGCACAGCACCGCCAACAACUGCAACUACAGCAACAACUGCAACUACAGCAAGCACAGCACCGCCAACAACUGCAACUACAGCAACAACUCUAACUACAGCAAGCACAGCGCCACCAACAAUCAUAAUUACAGCAACAACUGCAACUACAGCAAGCACAGC